rnacentral:lncRNA from 1 species
CCUAUAUUGAACAUCUACUCUUAAUUAAUGACAAAUCGAGACUUCGUCAGAAUUAUGAGUUCCAAGUACUUUCUACACCAUUUCAUCAAUCUACAAAUACAGUCUAUGAAAACAAGUCAAGCUCCAAUUUUGCAGAUUAUACAACCAGCUACCAGUUAUUGGUCGCUGGAGGAUUAUAUAUGCAGCAACCACAAGUUUAGUCGCUAGACGAGUUAAAAAAAUUAGAGGGCUCAUCCCGCUAAGCUGUAAAGCGACCAAUAUCUGGUCGCUGAAGGGUUAUAUAUAUACAGCGACCACCACUUUGGGUGCUGAAAGAGAGAAAAAAUUAGGCAGGGUUCAUCCCGCCAAGAGGUAUAGCGACCACAUAAACGUUGGUCGCUGGAUAGAAGUAUUAGCGACCAGAUAUUGGUCGCUGGAGGAUUAUACAUGCAGCGACCACUAGUUUGGUCGCUGGAAGAGUUAAAAAAAGUAGGCGGGGUUUAUCCUGCCAAGAGGUAUAGCAACCACGUAAAUGUUGGUCGCUAAAUAGAAGUAUGAGGUACAGCGACAAUGUAAGAUCGAAAUUUUUUGUAAUCUGAUUCUUCUACGAGGAGCGGCGGCAAUGGGAGACGGGAGGCAGAGUGAAUGGCCUUUUUUUUCCAUCUGAUAAUGAUUUAUCUUUUUAGGGCUUCUAUUUGAGAGAGACAGAGUGGGGGGCAACAAUGCUCGAAUUGAGAGGAAAUGAAAUACUUUGAGUAUUUGAG